rnacentral:lncRNA from 1 species
ACUUCCCCAUGACCACAGAGGCAGAAUUUGGAAUGAGCAACUGACAGACCCGAAGGGAGAACCUACAGUUUAUACACUUCUCCCAGCUUAGAGAAAAGGAGUAUGGUGCCAUUACAUGGCAUCUUCACCCAUCGCCAGCCUUUCUACAUCUAGAAGAAGUCCAAUAGCUUUUGGGAAGAUUUUGGAGGAAGGCGGGAGAAGAAGGGAUUCUUCAGAGACUGAAACAGAGAUCUUUCUUUCAGGUAUCAGAAUUUCAAUCCUGGAAAGAUAUUAUUCUGCCUAUAUAACUGAGCAAUAAGCAGAUCCUGGGCAGGAAUGGAGGCUGCAGCAUUUAAUCAACACAGCCAUGGACUGGGAGAUCUGGAUUACAUUCCUGUCUCUGCAGUGGACACUGGAAACGUACUCCCCUGUGCUCUACGUGUCUCCACCUGCAAGGUGCAAAUCACUAUCACUUACAAAUUGCAGGAAAAACAAUGGAGUGGAGGUUGUCUUCUGGUCAGAUUUUGACAGGAAUGCAUGGCUUGACAUGCACUGGAGAAACAGUCUAUAAACAAACAUGUCAGAGAGGAAACACAGCAUCUGCAACUCUGUGUCACAGGACAAGAUGGUGAUCACUUUGCAUCUGUACAAGAUGGAUCCUCCCCUCUACCCCAAGAUUCAGUAGCUACAAAAAAUGUAGAGAUAACUAUGAAAUUCUUAACAGAAAUUCAUUUUCUACAGUACAAAUACUAACUAGAGUUUCAUAACUGAAGCUACUUACAGCCUUUUGAAGAUAGGCAGGGGAAUACCUUUAUAAUAAUGUCCUCAAUUUCACUAAUCCCAUCAUAAAGCAUCAGUUAAGCCUGCACUAAACAAUCACAGUAAACCUCUAAAUCCUGGGAAGCUUGCCCACUUCUGAAUACAAGAGAGCUUAAUGAAGUCUUAGUUCAUGACAAGCCCUAAAAGACAAUGUAAAAUAAAUAAAAUUCCCUCUAAUUAAUUUCA